GCAGAGAUGGCAGAGUGGUCGAAUGCACACGAUUCGAAAUCGUGCAAGGCGUUAAAACCUUCGGGGGUUCAAAUCCCUUUCUCUGCGCCA
rnacentral:tRNA from 1 species